rnacentral:tRNA from 1 species
AGACCCAGGAGAAAACUCAUAGCCAAAUUUGCAAUUUGGCGAUUCUGGGCC